rnacentral:misc_RNA from 1 species
UCAAACUUGGUCAUUUAGAGGAAGUAAAAGUCGUAACAAGGUUUCCGUAGGUGAACCUGCGGAAGGAUCAUUACUGAAUUAAUGAAAGGUUGUAGCUGGCUCCUUGGAGUAUGUGCACGCCUUUCAAAUUCAUCUUAACCACCUGUGCACUUUUGUAGGCUGCGAUAACUCUCAGUGGGUAAAAGCACUGGAUCGAGAGACUUGCGAUUGAGCUGUCUUUCAAUUUCGUAGUCUAUGUUUUAUCUUACACACUAAAGUCAUUGAAUGUUAUUGUAUAUGGGUCUUCAUUGACCUAUAAAACUAUAUACAACUUUCAACAACGGAUCUCUUGGCUCUCGCAUCGAUGAAGAACGCAGC